ACUGGGCACAGUGGCACAUGCCUAGUCCCAGCUACUCAGGAGGCUGAGGUAGGAGGAUCGCUUGAGCCCAGGAGUUCUGGGCUGUAGUGCGAUAUGCUGAUCAGGUGUCUACACUAAAUUCGGCAGCAAUAUGGAGACCUCCUGGGAGCUGGGGACAGCGAGGUUGCCUACAGAGGAGUGAGCCAGCCCAGCUCGGAAAUGGAGCAGGUCAAAACUCCUGUGCUGAUCAGUAAUGGGAUCGCACCUGUGAAUAGCCACUGCAGUCCAGCCUGGGCUGUUAGAGAGACCCCGUCUCUU
ensembl:misc_RNA Metazoa_SRP Metazoan signal recognition particle RNA